GAGUUUGAUCGUGGCUCAGGAUGAACGCUGGCGGCGUGCCUAACACAUGCAAGUCGAACGAAGCAUAAGGAGCGGAAGUUUUCGGAUGGAAGCAACUUAUGACUGAGUGGCGGACGGGUGAGUAACGCGUGGGGUAACCUGCCCCACACAGGGGGACAACAGCUGGAAACGGCUGCUAAUACCGCAUAAGCGCACAAGGGCUGCAUGGCCUGGUGUGAAAAGCUGAGGCGGUGUGGGAUGGACCCGCGUCCGAUUAGGUAGUUGGCAGGGUAGAGGCCUACCAAGCCUGCGUUCGGUAGCCGGCCUGAGAGGGUGGACGGCCACAUUGGGACUGAGACACGGCCCAAACUCCUACGGGAGGCAGCAGUGGGGGAUAUUGCACAAUGGGCGCAAGCCUGAUGCAGCGACGCCGCGUGGGUGAAGAAGUACCUCGGUACGUAAAGCCCUAUCAGCAGGGAAGAAAAUGACGGUACCUGACUAAGAAGCUCCGGCUAAAUACGUGCCAGCAGCCGCAACG
rnacentral:rRNA from 1 species